CAGGGAGACAACAAAAUGUUUAAUAUUAUUAUUUUGUCACCUUAGGUCGAUCGGUAUCUCACGUUCUUAAUUUGUUAAGAAUUUCAUUUCCUAAGUUUUUCUAGGUCACACCCAUUAUUUUUCCUGGGCCAUUAGCUCAGGUGGUUAGAGCGCACCCCUGAUAAGGGUGAGGUCCCUGGUUCAAGUCCAGGAUGGCCCAUAUCUCUAUGUUGGGGGUAUAGCUCAGUUGGUAGAGCGCCUGCUUUGCAAGCAGGAUGUCAGCGGUUCGAGUCCGCUUACCUCCACUGAUUACCACCUCUUCCAUAACUGGUAGAAAGGAAAUGUUUUGAGUUGUGAUUAUUAUUCUGAACGAAUCUAGCUUCCUAAUGAAAUCAUUAAGAUGCUGGACUCAUUGAAUUAAUUUCAUUGUUUUCAGAGAACCUUGACAACUGCAUANAUUUUUUUAAAGACAAUAAGCAACUUUAAUGAUGCAGAUUUAUUAUUUGUGCGAAUGCAUUAAUAACAAUUCUAUUAAGCUGAUGCUUCAAUUUUUGAAGUUAUUU
rnacentral:tRNA from 1 species